UUAAAGUAGUAAGGGCGCAGGGUGGAUGCCUUGGCACUAAGAGCCGAUGAAAGACGUGAUAAGCUGCGAAAAGCUUCGGGGAGGAGCACAUAUCCAAUGAUCCGGAGAUAUCUGAAUGGGGAAACCCGGCAGAGGAAACCUCUGUCAGCGUGCAGUGAAUACAUAGCUGUACGUGGGGAACCCGGGGAACUGAAACAUCUAAGUACCCGGAGGAAGAGAAAGAAAAUUUAUCGAUUUCCAAAGUAGCGGCGAGCGAAAUGGAAAGAGCCCAAACCGUGAUGCGUGCAUCGCGGGGUUCGGACUGCGUUGUGGCAGACGUAAGAUAGGAGAACGGACUGGGAAGUCCGGCCGGAGAGAGUGAAAGCCUCGUAUCCGAAAUCCCAAGUCGCCUAGCAGGAUCCAGAGUAGGACGAGACACGAGAAACCUUGUCUGAACGAGCGGGGACCACCCCGUAAGGCUAAAUACUUCUUAGUGACCGAUAGCGCAUAGUACUGUGAAGGAAAGGUGAAAAGUACCCCGGGAGGGGAGUGAAAGAGAACCUGAAACCCUGUGUCUACAAGCUGUGGGACCUCUUUAUAUGAGGGACUGCGUACUUUUUGUAGAACGGUCCGGCGAGUUGUGCGUACUGGCGAGGUUAAGGACUUAAGGUCUGGAGCCGAAGUGAAAGCAAGCGUUAAUAGCGCGUCAAGUCAGUGAGUGCAGACCCGAAACCGGGUGACCUAUCCAUGUCCAGGUUGAAGCUUCCGUAAGAGGAAGUGGAGGACCGAACCCACAUCCGUUGAAAAGGGUGGGGAUGAGGUGUGGAUAGCGGAGAAAUUCCAAUCGAACCCGGAGAUAGCUGGUUCUCCUCGAAAUAGCUUUAGGGCUAGCCUCAUGAGAGUCUUAUGGAGGUAGAGCACUGAAUUGCCUAGGGGGCGUCAAAGCUUACCAAAGCAUAUCAAACUCCGAAUGCCAUCAAGAUGAUUCAUGGGAGUCAGACCAUACGAGAUAAGUUGGAUGGUCAAAAGGGAAAGAGCCCAGACCUACAGCUAAGGUCCCAAAGUACGUGUUAAGUGGAAAAGGAUGUGGGGAUUCUAAGACAACUAGGACGUUGGCUUAGAAGCAGCCAUUCAUUGAAAGAGUGCGUAAUAGCUCACUAGUCGAGAGUCCCUGCGCCGAAAAUGUCCGGGGCUGAAACACGACACCGAAGCUUAGGAAUGUGUAAACAUUGGUAGAGGAGCAUUGCUAGCGGGAUGAAGCCAUACCGUAAGGAGUGGUGGACUGCUAGGAAGAGAGAAUGCCGGAAUGAGUAGCGAGAUGAAGGUGAGAAUCCUUCAGGCCGAAUAUCUAAGGUUUCCAGAGUAAAGCUGAUCUGCUCUGGGUAAGUCGGGACCUAAGGCGAGGUCGAAAGACGUAGUCGAUGGAUAACAGGUUGAAAUUCCUGUACCGCAUAUAAACAGAACUGUGGGGACACAGACAGGGAAUGGAAUCCGGGAAUGGAUAUCCCGGUGCAAGCGAGGUAGGAGUGCUGUUGGCAAAUCCGCAGCACGAUCUGAAGACGUGACGCGUACCGAACAUAAGUAGGGAAGUCCAGGCCCCUGGCUGUCAAGAAAAGCCGCUAUCGUUUUAUAUGUGCCCGUACCGCAAACCGACACAGGUGGAUGAGGAGAGAAUCCUAAGGCCGACGGGAGAAGUAUUGUUAAGGAACUCGGCAAAAUGACUCCGUAACUUCGGGAGAAGGAGUGCCAUGAGAGUGGCCGCAGAGAAAUGGCCCAAGCAACUGUUUAGCAAAAACACAGGUCUAUGCAAAACCGCAAGGUGAAGUAUAUGGGCUGACGCCUGCCCGGUGCUGGAAGGUUAAGGGGAGAGGUUAGCGCAAGCGAAGCUUUGAACUUAAGCCCCAGUAAACGGCGGCCGUAACUAUAACGGUCCUAAGGUAGCGAAAUUCCUUGUCGGGUAAGUUCCGACCC
rnacentral:rRNA from 1 species